CGCAGCACUAAUCGAGGAAGGUACAUGUACACAGAUAUACAUGUCAACAGUUCAGUGGGUUUAACGCGUUGGUCGAGCGGCAUAAGGACUCAGCAACAACACAGUAGGUUUAUUUUGCAGCACAUCGUGCAUUUGUCAGUCCUUGAAGGAGGUUGUGUAUCGUCGAUGGGCAGGGCUAUGCUCCUCCAGAGGUGGCUCGGUCCCACCCUGCUGUCAGCUGGCCACCGUUCUGCAGGAGGGAGGAAACAGACGCCGUUCACCCCCAAGCUGAAACACGUGUCUCUCUUUAGGAGUCCCAGCAGCAGACACGGCAUGGCGGAAGAAGCGAAGAAACUAGCAGGCUAUGCUGCGGUGGAUAAUCAUGUUCAGAACAACCAGGUGGUUGGAGUGGGCAGUGGAUCCACCAUUGUGUAUGCUGUAGACAGACUAGGUGAGUGUGAGGUGCGAUGGCUGUGUAUCAUGUAUUCUACGGGGAUCUCAGAGAGCCGACUCUAAUCUGGCAGAUGGCCCUCAACAUUUGAUCUUGUCCUCCAGGCUCGUCAGUUGAUUCUGCAGCAUGGUCUAACCCUGUCUGAUCUGGAUAGACACCCAGAGCUGGACGUGGCCAUCGAUGGGGCAGACGAGGUGGAUGCUGCUCUCACACUCAUCAAAGGAGGAGGAGGCUGUCUGACUCAGGAGAAGAUUGUAGCCGGCUGUGCCAAACACUUCAUCGUCAUCGCUGACUUCAGGAAGGACUCCUCGGUCCUGGGUCAGCAGUGGAAGAAGGGUGUUCCAAUUGAGGUGAUCCCUAUGGCCUACGUCCCCGUCUCCAGGACUAUAGCCAAGCGCUUCGGAGGGGAGGCAGUACUCCGCAUGGCCAUCAGUAAAGCUGGUCCGGUGGUAACGGACAACAGUAACUUCAUUCUGGACUGGAAGUUUGAACACACUCACAACUGGAAGGAGGUCAAUAUCGCUAUCAAGAUGAUUCCAGGUGUGGUAGAGACAGGUCUGUUUGUGGGGAUGGCAGAGCGGGUGUACUUUGGGAUGGAGGAUGGUAAUGUUGGGGUCAGAGACCCUCCAGUCAACUGACCUGAGCCCUGCUCCACCUGGUACCAACCAGCAACUCCCCCCUCCACCUGGAACCAACCAGCAACUCCCCCCUCCACCUGGAACCAACCAGCAACCCCCCCCCUCCACCUGGAACCAACCAGCAGCCCCCUCCUCCACCUGGAACCAACCAGCAGCCCCCUCCUCCAUCUGGAACCAACCAGCAGCCCCCUCCUCCAUCUGGAACCAACCAGCAGCCCCCUCCUCCAUCUGGAACCAACCAGCACCCCCCUCCUCCACCUGGAACCAACCAGCACCCCCCUCCUCCACCUGGAACCAACCAGCCUCAACCACAGUGCCCUAUUUUAUUAUGGAUGCAUCCCAAAAGGCCAGCUAUUCUCUAUAUAAUGCACUACCUUAGACCAGAGCCCUAUUAGAGCCCUAUGGGUCCUGGUCAGAGCCCUAUUAGAGCCCUAUGGGUCCUGGUCAAAGAGCCCUAUUAGAGCCCUCGGGGUCCUGGUCAAAGAGCCCUAUUAGAGCCUUCUGGGUCCUGGUUAAAGUGCCCUAUUAGAGCCCUAUGGGUCCUGGUCAAAGAGCCCUAUUAGAGCCCUCGGGGUCCUGGUCAAAGAGCCCUAUUAGAGCCUUCUGGGUCCUGGUUAAAGUGCCCUAUUAGAGCCCUAUGGGUCCUGGUCAAAGAGCCCUAUUAGAGCCCUAUGGGUCCUGGUCACAGUGCCCUAUUAGAGCCCUCUGGGUCCUGGUUAAAGAGCGCUAUUAGAGCCCUCUGGGUCCUGACAAAAGUACCCUAUUAGAGCCCUAUGGGUCCUGGUCACAGUGCCCUAUUAAAGCCCUAUGGGUCCUGGUCACAGUGCGCUAUUAGAGCCCUCUGGGUCCUGGUUAAAGUGCCCUAUGGUUCCUGGUCACCGUGCCCUAUUAGAGCCCUAUGGGUCCUGGUCAAAGAGCCCUAUUAGAGCCCUAUGGGUCCUGGUUAAAGUGCCCUAUUAGAGCCCUAUGGGUCCUGGUCAAAGAGCCCUAAUAGAGCCCUAUUAGAGCCCUAUGGGUCCUGGUCAAAGAGCCCUAUUAGAGCCCUAUGGGUCCUGGUCAAAGAGCCCUAUUAGAGCCCUAUGUGUCCUGGUCAAAGAGCCCUACUAGAGCCCUAUGGGUCCUGGUCAAAGAGCCCUAUGGGUCCUGGUCAAAGUGCCCUAUUAGAGCCCUAUGGGUCCUGGUCAAAGAGCCAUAUUAGAGCCCUAUGGGUCCUGGUCAAAGAGCCCUAUGGGUCCUGGUCAAAGUGCCCUAUUAGAGCCCUAUGGGUCCUGGUCACAGUGCCCUAUUAGAGCCCUGUCGGUCUAGUUAUAAACUUGUAGCCCGUAUUGACACACUGUGGCUGUAGCUAAACCUGCAUGGACUCCCUGAGUGGUUUUUAUUCUCUUCAGAUAAACGGAGAACCCUGGUGCUGUUGGGGCACACUGAAACCAAUGGGCCCUCGUCAAAUGUAGUGCACUAAAAUAGGCAAUAGGGUGGCAUUUUGACCACUAGCCUGAACAUCUGUCUCUAUACUGAGAACUGUCUCAUCCGUUUGCCCUUUCAACUGUCUUACAACAUGUUGUUGAUCAUUUGCCUGGUCCCAGGUCUGCCUCUGGUUGCCUGGUCCCAGGUCUGCCUCUGGUUGCCUGGUCCCAGGUCUGCCUCUGGUUGCCUGGUCCCAGGUCUGCCUCUGGUUGCCUGGUCCCAGGUCUGCCUCUGGUUGCCUGGUCCCAGGUCUGCCUCUGGUUGCCUGGUCCCAGGUCUGCCUCUGGUUGCCUGGUCCCAGGUCUGCCUCUGGUUGCCUGGUCCCAGGUCUGCCUCUGGUUGCCUGGUCCCAGGUCUGCCUCUGGUUGCCUGGUCCCAGGUUUGCCUCUGGUUGCCUGGUCCCAGGUCUGCCUCUGGUUGCCUGGUCCCAGGUCUGCCAAGCUAACAAUGCGUGUUGAAGUCGGCAGGAUGGCCCACACACUGUUUCUCAGGACAUGUCUCUGUCUAGUUGUUGCACAUCGUUUCCUUUCGUUGCUCAAGCCAGCCUUGUGCCAUUCUCUUACCUAAUACCAAAGUUGCAGUGCCUGGAUUUACAAAACAUUUCUUAAGGUUUUCAAAAUCCAGGCCCUGGUGUACUCAAUGUUCCCUGAGUCCAAACAGCAGUACAGGGGAAGUUGUGUUCAAAGGGGGUGGUCACCUUAACACUUGAACACGGUUAUAAUGCACCAAAUGUAACUAUUAAAUGGUCGUGCAUGUCCCGAUCUGUAGCCUACUGGCUGUCCGUGUCUGGCUCCAAUAACAUCACUUCUUCUAUUGUAGAUCCUUUAUGGGUCAAUUAGCAGGAUGUUGCAGUUUAGCACCAGCUACACCUCUCUCUACCUACCAUAGCUAUACCUACCAUAGCUAUACCUCUCUAUACCUACCAUAGCUAUACCUCUCUAUACCUACCAUAGCUACACCUCUCUAUACCUACCAUAGCUACACCUCUCUCUACCUACCAUAGCUACACCUCUCUCUACCUACCAUAGCUACACCUCUCUCUACCUACCAUAGCUAUACCUCUCUACCUACCAUAGCUAUACCUACCAUAGCUAUACCUCUCUCUACCUACCAUAGCUACACCUCUCUCUACCUACCAUAGCUACACCUCUCUCUACCUACCAUAGCUACACCUCUCUCUACCUACCAUAGCUAUACCUCUCUACCUACCAUAGCUAUACCUACCAUAGCUACACCUCUCUCUACCUACCAUAGCUAUACCUCUCUCUACCUACCAUAGCUAUACCUCUCUCUACCUACCAUAGCUAUACCUCUCUCUACCUACCAUAGCUAUACCUCUCGCUAUACCUACCAUGGCUACACCUCUCUCUACCUACCAUGGCUACACCUUUCAAUGACUAUAUGACUGUGAUUAGUUGGCUGUCUUCAAGCUGUAAGGUACUGGGUUGUAUUAAAGAUUAAACCAACAUUAGUUUCCUUUA